UGCUCGCUUCAGCAGCACAUUACUAAAAUCGGAACAAAACAAAGAGGAUUGCCAUGGCCCCUGUGCCAGAAACGUGCAAAUUCAUGAACCACUCCACAUUUUU